rnacentral:rRNA from 1 species
CCUACGGGAGGCAGCAGUGGGGAAUAUUGCGCAAUGGGGGAAACCCUGACGCAGCAACGCCGCGUGAUUGAAGAAGGCCUUCGGGUUGUAAAGAUCUUUAAUUCGGGACGAAUUUUGACGGUACCGAAAGAAUAAGCUCCGGCUAACUACGUGCCAGCAGCCGCGGUAAUACGUAGGGAGCAAGCGUUAUCCGGAUUUACUGGGUGUAAAGGGCGCGCAGGCGGGCCGGCAAGUUGGAAGUGAAAUCCGGGGGCUUAACCCCCGAACUGCUUUCAAAACUGCUGGUCUUGAGUGAUGGAGAGGCAGGCGGAAUUCCGUGUGUAGCGGUGAAAUGCGUAGAUAUACGGAGGAACACCAGUGGCGAAGGCGGCCUGCUGGACAUUAACUGACGCUGAGGCGCGAAAGCGUGGGGAGCAAACAGGAU